rnacentral:rRNA from 1 species
CCUACGGGAGGCUGCAGUGAGGAAUAUUGGACAAUGGACGAGAGUCUGAACCAGCCAAGUAGCGUGAAGGAUGACUGCCCUAUGGGUUGUAAACUUCUGUUAUAAAGGAAUAAAACGAGGCACGUGUGCCUUUUUGCAUGUACUUUAUGAAUAAGGAUCGGCUAACUCCGUGCCAGCAGCCGCGGUAAUACGGAGGAUGCGAGCGUUAUCCGGAUUUAUUGGGUUAAAAGGGUGCGUAGGCGGACUGUUAAGUCCGCGGUAAAAGCCCGGGGCUCAACCCCGGCGAGCCGUUGAAACUGGCUGUCUUGAGAUGUCGAGAGGUAUGCGGAAUGCGCAGUGUAGCGGUGAAAUGCUUAGAUAUUGCGCAGAACUCCGAUUGCGAAGGCAGCAUACCGGAGGCGAUCUGACGCUGAGGCACGAAAGCGUGGGUAUCGAACAGGAUUAGAUACCCUAGUAGUC